UGAGUAACCUGCCCUUAACUCUGGGAUAAGCCUGGGAAACUGGGUCUAAUACCGGAUAUGACUCCUCAUCGCAUGGGUGGGGGGUUGGAAAGCUUUAUUGUGGUUUUGGAUGGACUCGCGGCCUAUCAGCUUGUUGGUGAGGUAAUGGCUCACCAAGGCGACGACGGGUAGCUGGUCUGAGAGGACGACCAGCCACACUGGAACUGAGAUACGGUCCAGACUCCGUACGGGAGGNAG
rnacentral:rRNA from 1 species